UACGUAGGGCGCAAGCGUUGUCCGGAAUUAUUGGGCGUAAAGAGCUCGUAGGCGGUUUGUCGCGUCUGCUGUGAAAGCCCGGGGCUCAACCCCGGGUCUGCAGUGGGUACGGGCAGACUAGAGUGAUGUAGGGGAGACUGGAAUUCCUGGUGUAGCGGUGAAAUGCGCAGAUAUCAGGAGGAACACCGAUGGCGAAGGCAGGUCUCUGGGCAUUAACUGACGCUGAGGAGCGAAAGCAUGGGGAGCGAACAGG
rnacentral:rRNA from 1 species